AAACAAUGUUUCGUUGGAAAAUAGAAAAAAAAAAAAAAGGACCGAAUUCACGAAGGAAAUAAAAUAGGAUAGGGGAAAAAAAACUCGAUCUUUUUCGAUAAAUCUAUGUAACUAUGAUAGUCGUAGAAAGUCAUGUUCUCGAGACACGACACGACGAUCUCUCCGAUCUCUAUGUAACGGAGAUCUGGUACACUGGCAUGAUUCAGCGGCGGUGUUUGGAAAUUUCCAGAUUUCACCUUGACUUUGAUUGCAAGUCGCACGCGAGCCUGAUCGUGCGAAUCCCUCAGGCUAAUAGAUCAUUUAAAAUCGACGAAAGAUACAAAGAUCGAAAAAAAAAAAGUGAAUUUCUGUAAUUUUUGUUCGGGAAUAUCGAAGAUUGAACGACCAGUUCUCGGCCUAACUGGAUUGAUUAAACUUAGCACGUGCUGCAAACCGGCUCCACAGGAUGAAUCCGGAUCGCGUAAUUACACGAUGCGAAUUCGCGUCAAUGUUUCGUACUUUUCGUGAUGUCUCGUUAUCCGACACGCGUGAUACAAAAAAAGAAACCACUUUGUGAAUCAUACGAUUCGUGCGUUUCGCGAAGAGAAAAGGAACGAGAAGAGUGAUCACGUUGACUUUCGAUAUU